CUGGUUGAUCCUGCCAGACCCGACUGCUAUCGGAUUGGGACUAAGCCAUGCGAGUCAACUCCGCAAGGGGUGGCGCACGGCUCAGUAACACGUAGUCAACCUACCCUGGGGACGGGGAUAACCUCGGGAAACUGAGGCUAAACCCCGAUGGGCCAUGGCUCCUGGAAUGGGCUAUGGCUGAAAUCUACAUGGCCCCAGGAUGGGACUGCGGCCGAUCAGGUUGUUGGUGGGGUAAUGGCCCACCAAGCCUAUAACCGGUGCGGGCUCUGAGAGGAGGAGCCCGGAGACGGGCACUGAGACAAGGGCCCAGGUCCUAUGGGGCGCAGCAGGCGCGAAACCUCCGCAAUGGGCGAAAGCCCGACGGGGUCAGUCCGAGUGGUUCCCGCUGAGGGAACCUUUUGCCAGCUGUAAACAGGCUGGCGAAUAAGGGGUGGGCAAGUUUGGUGUCAGCCGCCGCGGUAAUACCAGCACCCCGAGUGGUCGGGACGAUUAUUGGGCCUAAAGCAUCCGUAGCCGGCCCAGUAAGUCCUCCGUUAAAUCCAACGGCUCAACCGUUGGGCUGCGGGGGAUACUGCUGGGCUAGGGGACGGGAGAGGCGAGGGGUAUUCCCGGGGUAGGGGUAAAAUCCACUGAUCCCGGGAGGACCACCAGUGGCGAAGGCGCCUCGCUAGAACGUGCCCGACGGUGAGGGAUGAAAACUGGGGGAGCGAACCGGAUUAGAUACCCGGGUAGUCCCAGCCGUAAACGAUGUAGGCUCGGUGUUGGGCUGCCUCAGUGGCAGCCCAGUGCCGCAGGGAAGCCGUUAAGCCUACCGCCUGGGGAGUACGGCCGCAAGGCUGAAACUUAAAGGAAUUGGCGGGGGAGCACCAC
rnacentral:rRNA from 1 species